rnacentral:rRNA from 1 species
UACAGAGGGUGCGAGCGUUAAUCGGAAUUACUGGGCGUAAAGCGCGCGUAGGCGGCUUUGCAAGUCGGGUGUGAAAUCCCCAGGCUUAACCUGGGAACUGCAUUCGAGACUGCAUCGCUAGAGUAUGGGAGAGGGAAGUGGAAUUUCCGGUGUAGCGGUGAAAUGCGUAGAUAUCGGAAGGAACAUCAGUGGCGAAAGCGACUUCCUGGACCAAUACUGACGCUGAGGAGCGAAAGCGUGGGGAGCGAACAGG